AAUACUAUGACUGAUUAAGGUGAUAAAUUGUAAAUUUAUUUAUGAAAGUAUAAUUUCUAGUAUUA
rnacentral:tRNA from 1 species